CGUAGAGUUUGAUCCUGGCUCAGGAUGAACGCUGGCGGCGUGCUUAACACAUGCAAGUCGAACGAAGAUAUUAAGAAUGAGAGCUUCGGCAGGAAUUUUUCUUAUCUUAGUGGCGGACGGGUGAGUAACGUGUGGGCAACCUGCCCUGCACUGGGGAAUAAUCAUUGGAAACGAUGACUAAUACCGCAUACGGUUCCUGGGAGGCAUCUUCCGGGAAAGAAAGGAUUUAUUCGGUGCAGGAUGGGCCCGCAUCUGAUUAGCUAGUUGGUGAGAUAACAGCCCACCAAGGCGACGAUCAGUAGCCGACCUGAGAGGGUGACCGGCCACAUUGGGACUGAGACACGGCCCAAACUCCUACGGGAGGCAGCAGUGGGGAAUAUUGCACAAUGGGCGAAAGCCUGAUGCAGCAACGCCGCGUGAAGGAAGAAGGGUUUCGGCUCGUAAACUUCUAUCAACAGGGACGAAAGAAAUGACGGUACCUGAAUAAGAAGCCCCGGCUAACUACGUG
rnacentral:rRNA from 1 species